rnacentral:snoRNA from 1 species
AAGCACUUUCAUAGGAUACUAAGAUGUUGAUACUGUUGAUGGUGCUAAUAAUAAACCUUUGGAGAUAAAUCAGUAGCAUGACUAAUUUAGCAAUUGCUGUGAGUCACCUUUAGGCAAGU